rnacentral:rRNA from 1 species
GAUGAACGCUGGCGGCGUGCUUAACACAUGCAAGUCGAACGAUGAAGCCCAGCUUGCUGGGCGGAUUAGUGGCGAACGGGUGAGUAACACGUGAGUAACCUGCCCUUGACUCUGGGAUAAGCCCGGGAAACUGGGUCUAAUACCGGAUAGGAGCGCCUGUCGCAUGACGGGUGCUGGAAAGAUCUUUCGGUCAUGGAUGGACUCGCGGCCUAUCAGCUUGUUGGUGAGGUAACGGCUCACCAAGGCGACGACGGGUAGCCGGCCUGAGAGGGUGACCGGCCACACUGGGACUGAGACACGGCCCAGACCCCUACGGGAGGCAGCAGUGGGGAAUAUUGCACAAUGGGCGAAAGCCUGAUGCAGCGACGCCGCGUGAGGGAUGACGGCCUUCGGGUUGUAAACCUCUUUCAGCAGGGAAGAAGCGAAAGUGACGGUACCUGCAGAAGAAGCACCGGUUAACUACGUG